GUCUAUGGCCAUACCACCCUGAACACGCCCGAUCUCAUCUGAUCUUGGAAGCUAAGCAGGGUCUGGCCUGGUUAGUACUUGGAUGGGAGAAAUGAACAUUCUAGGAAGUUAGGGUUA
rnacentral:rRNA from 1 species